GAUGAACGCUGGCGGCGUGCCUAAUACAUGCAAGUCGAGCGAACGGACGAGAAGCUUGCUUCUCUGAUGUUAGCGGCGGACGGGUGAGUAACACGUGGAUAACCUACCUAUAAGACUGGGAUAACUUCGGGAAACCGGAGCUAAUACCGGAUGAUAUUUUGAACCGCAUGGUUCAAAAGUUAAAGACGGUCUUUCUGUCACUUAUAGAUGGAUACGGCCUGCAUUAGCUAGUUGGUAAGGUAACGGGUUACCAAGGCAACGAUGCAUAGCCGACCUGAGCGGGUGAUCGCCCACACUGGCACUGAGACACGGCCCAGACACCUACGGGAGGCAGCAGUAGGGAAUCUUACGCGAUGGGCGAAAGCCUGACAGAGCAACGCCGCGUGAGUGAUGAAGGUCUUCGGAUCGUAAAACUCUGUUAUUAGGGAAGAACAUAUGUGUAAGUAACUGUGAAGAUCUUGACGGUACCUAAUCAGAAAGCCCCGGCUAACUACGUG
rnacentral:rRNA from 1 species